AUUGAACGCUGGCGGCAUGCCUUACACAUGCAAGUCGAACGGUAACCGGCCUUCGGGUGCCGACGAGUGGCGAACGGGUGAGUAAUACAUCGGAACGUGCCCGAUCGUGGGGGAUAACGAGGCGAAAGCUUUGCUAAUACCGCAUACGAUCUACGGAUGAAAGCAGGGGACCGCAAGGCCUUGCGCGGACGGAGCGGCCGAUGGCCGAUUAGGUAGUUGGUGGGAUAAAAGCUUACCAAGCCGACGAUCUGUAGCUGGACUGAGAGGAUGAUCAGCCACACUGGGACUGAGACACGGCCCAGACUCCUACGGGAGGCAGCAGUGGGGAAUUGUGGACAAUGGGCGCAAGCCUGAUCCAGCCAUGCCGCGUGCAGGAUGAAGGCCUUCGGGUUGUAAACUGCUUUUGUACGGAACGAAAAGCCUUCUUUUAAUACAGGAGGGUCAUGACGGUACCGUAAGAAUAAGCACCGGCUAACUACGUG
rnacentral:rRNA from 1 species